GAUCGGCUUUACUUCUUCCACGAAGGAAAAAAAAUCAUCGCGCUCUGCGAUUUCCCGCACGCGGUGAAAAACGUGCUGGGAUUGUUCUGUGGGAUUUUUAGCAAGCGAUUCGCUUCUGCGAUGGAAUUGGUGCAUCAUUCGAAAGCUGUGAGGUCAGAAACAAUUCCUGACUCCGCAAGAUUUUGCCGAAGUAUGGACAAAAUUAUAGACGCUUGCAACAGUUGGAGCAUCUUCAAUGUGAACCCUGCAAAGAGACCUUCAAGCGAGGAGAACCCACAGGUGGAGGAAGUCCUCGCAGAUCUUCUAUCUUGGGCACCGUACAUGAAAGUGUGCGCUAAGAGCAGAUUGAAGCGACCUGCGUCAUUCGUAGAAAUAGUGCAGACCGUUCGCGGUAUCCUCAUGCUUCAUCGCGAGCUGGGAGAGCAGUUCACAGGAUUCAAGUUAUUUACAGCAUUAUGUAACCAAGAUUCGGUGGAACAACUAUUUUCCAGAUUCCAAGGACAUGGUGGCUUUAAUCGGAACCCGACAUGCAGAAUUUCCGAUUCACCGCACGUCACUUGAUAUCGGUCCGCAACAUUAUCUCGUCGAAGCAGGGCAAUGCCAUCUGCGCUGACCUACCAUACUUGACUGCUGCGACUCUGAUCGAUCAACCACAGCUCGCCGGUGAUCUUACGGAUCGGCAAUACAAAGCUGGUAGCAAAAGCGACAGCAACGUUGAGGGCGAUGAUGACCUCGACCUGGCGACAAGGUUACGUGUGUUGUCCAAGGUGCAUCCUUGUGACAGCUGUCAGGAUAUUAUGGCCAAAAACGUAUCCCAUGCGGCUAAUUCUAAUGAAAGGUAUACGGUAUGCUGAGAAUACGUAAGUUUCAACACGUAUCGAGUUACGUCAUUAAAAAGACCAGCUGACAGGUACCAUAAAAUUGUUGAAGCUCAACUACAGUCUUUUCUUACAGUUUUCGUCCAGCAUAAGCACAAGGAUGGAAUACUGAAGAAGCUCGUUGCUCACGCGAUUGAUGCAACGACCAAAAUUGACCCGCAGUGGUUCGACGAGUCUGAUCCGUGCAACAGCCAUAGCAACUUCGCCGUAGGGUUCAUGUUGAGGGUGAAACUUCGACGUCGUUGCCAGCUUGACAACAGGGCUUCCAAAUCAAAGAGCCAAGAGAAGCGUCUUGCAACUGCGAUGAAACGAAAUGCUCUUAAGCCAGCCAAGAAGAUGCGAAAUAUCCUCCAUAUCUAAGGUUGCUGCGUGCACUUGGCACUUUUGUUGAGUACACGCAGCCGAUGGCAAUACGUACAAGUGAUACAGAUACUUGUUACGUAAUCCAAAUAACUCUGUUGAUGAUUACAGCUUGUUCAGACGGACAUGUCUCAUCGUGAUCAGCAUUGACGUUUUUGAUGUUCAUGUUGCAAAUGAUGAAAUAUUGACGGACGGAGUGAAUAUUUGCACACAAUAUUACCGUAACAUUACUUGGAGAACCAUGAUGAGUAGAAAGUGCCUAUGGGUUGUCUAGAUAUUUUGAGAUGAAUGUGUUCUAAAAAAGUAUCGCGAAGUCGCCAUUUCUUAGCAAUUGAUUACGUGAUAUCGGUAUAUUAUUAAUAUAAACGUAUUCCUAUAUUAUUAUCAUUACAUAAUCAUGUAUCAAUACGAACACAUUAAUAUCUUACUACGAUUACAUAAUCAUAUGUGAAAAGGGAACGUUGAAUUCAUAGCCGUCCCGAUCCUACCGAGAGUUCAGGGUGAGCUGCUCGUGCAGUUAUACUGCAGGGAUUGAUACCCGUGUGUAAAACAGAGCUGUGAAUUCGGAAGAAGUUCUCGAGCGAUUUCGCGGUAUGAAAAAGUCGGUCGACUUACACUUUCUUACUGAGAAAGCAUUUAGUGUGAUAACGAUCCAUUCGGAGUCACCCGAAUGUUGAACUCCCUGUGGUAUGGCUAUUCCGUUGGGAAUGGUUCUCCCUGUUCUCUCAGGUAGGAUUGGGACAUUGUUGACCGACGCACGUUCAUCUCAUGUUCUCGUGAUCGGUUUAUUCAGACCGUUCACCGUAACAAUGGUUUUCGGUAUUUGGUUGGUCUGCCGUCAUCUUGCAACUCGAAGACGGGGAAGACCGGGAAAAGUGGACUCCAUUUUACUUCUGUCUCGUCCAUGAGAUUUCUCAUACAAUCGUUGAUGUUUUUUUCCUUUGAACUAGUAUACAGAUUGUGCGUGCAAUCGAUACGUGUUUGCCUUUCAUCUGGCGAUACUUAUUGAGUGUCAGACAGUCGUAAAUGUGUAUCGAGUGUUGCGUAACGUUUACCAUCCAAUCUAGGAUUUCCUAGAAUUUCCCAGUCUUACGGUAAAACUUCGUCUCCUAAUAUCGAUGCAAUGAUUAUAAAACAUGCGAUUGUCACUGAUUCAAAUUCUCGACUUGCAGAUUCGGCGAACUGGAAUUCAUCGUCGCUGCUGGACGAAAUGGAUGGGCCGUACUGAAUUAUAUCUACAAAUAGAAUCUCUUGUUUAUCGAAAUAUCACUCAGUGUCUGUAUUUAUAUUAUAGUAUUCGCGGCUUCACUAAAAUAAUUGUUGAUUUUAA
rnacentral:misc_RNA from 1 species